GAGGUUAAGCGACUAAGCGUACACGGUGGAUGCCCUGGCAGUCAGAGGCGAUGAAGGACGUGCUAAUCUGCGAUAAGCGCCGGUAAGGUGAUAUGAACCGUUAUAACCGGCGAUUUCCGAAUGGGGAAACCCAGUGUGACUCGUCACACUAUCAUUAACUGAAUCCAUAGGUUAAUGAGGCGAACCGGGGGAACUGAAACAUCUAAGUACCCCGAGGAAAAGAAAUCAACCGAGAUUCCCCCAGUAGCGGCGAGCGAACGGGGAGGAGCCCAGAGCCUGAAUCAGCAUGUGUGUUAGUGGAAGCGUCUGGAAAGGCGCGCGAUACAGGGUGACAGCCCCGUACACAAAAGCGCAUGUGCUGUGAGCUCGAUGAGUAGGGCGGGACACGUGGUAUCCUGUCUGAAUAUGGGGGGACCAUCCUCCAAGGCUAAAUACUCCUGACUGACCGAUAGUGAACCAGUACCGUGAGGGAAAGGCGAAAAGAACCCCGGCGAGGGGAGUGAAAAAGAACCUGAAACCGUGUACGUACAAGCAGUGGGAGCACCCUUUGGGGUGUGACUGCGUACCUUUUGUAUAAUGGGUCAGCGACUUAUAUUCUGUAGCAAGGUUAACCGAAUAGGGGAGCCGGAGGGAAACCGAGUCUUAAUUGGGCGUUAAGUUGCAGGGUAUAGACCCGAAACCCGGUGAUCUAGCCAUGGGCAGGUUGAAGGUUGGGUAACACUAACUGGAGGACCGAACCGACUAAUGUUGAAAAAUUAGCGGAUGACCUGUGGCUGGGGGUGAAAGGCCAAUCAAACCGGGAGAUAGCUGGUUCUCCCCGAAAGCUAUUUAGGUAGCGCCUCGUGAAUUCAUCUCCGGGGGUAGAGCACUGUUUCGGCUAGGGGGCCAUCCCGGCUUACCAACCCGAUGCAAACUGCGAAUACCGGAGAAUGUUAUCACGGGAGACACACGGCGGGUGCUAACGUCCGUCGUGAAGAGGGAAACAACCCAGACCGCCAGCUAAGGUCCCAAAGUCAUGGUUAAGUGGGAAACGAUGUGGGAAGGCCCAGACAGCCAGGAUGUUGGCUUAGAAGCAGCCAUCAUUUAAAGAAAGCGUAAUAGCUCACUGGUCGAGUCGGCCUGCGCGGAAGAUGUAACGGGGCUAAACCAU
rnacentral:rRNA from 1 species